rnacentral:rRNA from 1 species
AGUCAAGUAAUUAAGUGCAUGUGGUGGAUGCCUUGGCAGUCAGAGGCGAUGAAAGACGUGAUAGCCUGCGAAAAGCUCCGGGGAGGCGGCAAAUAUCCUUUGAUCCGGAGAUGUCUGAAUGGGGGAACCCACCUACUUUAAGGUAGGUAUUGCAACAUGAAUACAUAGUGUUGCAAGGCGAACGAGGGGAAGUGAAACAUCUCAGUACCCUUAGGAAA